CUUCCAGUAGCACCUUAGGGACCAAAUAAGUUUGUUAUUGGUAUGAGCUUUUGUGUGUAUGCUCAUACCAAUAACAAACUUACUUGGUCUCUGAGGUGCUACUGGAAG